rnacentral:rRNA from 1 species
AUUGAACGCUGGCGGCAUGCCUUACACAUGCAAGUCGAACGGUAACAGGUCUUCGGAUGCUGACGAGUGGCGAACGGGUGAGUAAUACAUCGGAACGUGCCCGAUCGUGGGGGAUAACGAAGCGAUAGCUUUGCUAAUACCGCAUAAGAUCUAAGGAUGAAAGCAGGGGACCGCAAGGCCUUGCGCGAACGGAGCGGCCGAUGGCAGAUUAGGUAGUUGGUGGGAUAAAAGCUUACCAAGCCGACGAUCUGUAGCUGGACUGAGAGGACGACCAGCCACACUGGGACUGAGACACGGCCCAGACUCCUACGGGAGGCAGCAGUGGGGAAUUUUGGACAAUGGGCGAAAGCCUGAUCCAGCCAUGCCGCGUGCAGGAUGAAGGCCUUCGGGUUGUAAACUGCUUUUGUACGGAACGAAAAGACUCUUUCUAAUAAAGAGGGUCCAUGACGGUACCGUAAGAAUAAGCACCGGCUAACUACGUGCCAGCAGCCGCCGUAA